UACGUAGGGUGCGAGCGUUGCCCGGAUUUAUUGGGCGUAAAGGGCGCGCAGGCGGUCACGCACGUCCGUUGUGAAAUCGCUCGGCUCAACUGGGCGGGGUCAGCGGAUACGGCGCGACUGGAGCAAGCUAGGGGGCAAUGGAAUUCCCGGUGUAGUGGUGGAAUGCGUAGAUAUCGGGAGGAACACCUGUGGCGAAAGCGGCUCACUGGACCACAACUGACGCUGAGGCGCGAAAGCUAGGGGAGCAAACAGG
rnacentral:rRNA from 1 species